CUGGCGGCGUGCCUAACACAUGCAAGUCGAGCGAGGAGAUCCUCGGGAUGAUCCUAGCGGCGGACGGGUGAGUAACACGUGGGCAACCUGCCUCAUAGAGAGGAAUAGCCUUCCGAAAGGGAGAUUAAUACCUCAUAACAUUGCAGUUUCGCAUGGAACAGCAAUUAAAGGAGCAAUCCACUAUGAGAUGGGCCCGCGGCGCAUUAGCUAGUUGGUGAGGUAACGGCUCACCAAGGCGACGAUGCGUAGCCGACCUGAGAGGGUGAUCGGCCACAUUGGGACUGAGACACGGCCCAGACUCCUACGGGAGGCAGCAGUGGGGAAUAUUGCACAAUGGGGGAAACCCUGAUGCAAGCAACGCCGCGUGAGUGAUGACGGCCUUCGGGUUGUAAAGCUCUGUCUUCAGGGACGAUAACGACGGUACCUGAGGAGGAAGCCACGGCUAACUACGUGCCAGCAGCUGC
rnacentral:rRNA from 1 species